rnacentral:rRNA from 1 species
UUAGCCCUAAACACAAAUAAUUAUAAAAACAAAAUUAUUCGCCAGAGUACUACCGGCAACAGCCCGAAACUCAAAGGACUUGGCGGUGCUUUAUACCCUUCUAGAGGAGCCUGUUCUAUAAUCGAUAAACCCCGAUAAACCUCACCAAUCCUUGCUAAUACAGUCUAUAUACCGCCAUCUUCAGCAAACCCUNAAAAANNGACAAAAGUAAGCUCAAUAAUAACACAUAAAGACGUUAGGUCAAGGUGUAACCUAU